AACAAUUUAACGAUAUAUUUCUAGCUAUCGAAAUAAAUCGAUCAUUCAGUCGAUAUGAUAGAAAGAUGGCGAAGAGGUUAUGUAGUUUCGUCUAUGAUCCUGUUGAAACAUUUGGCUGUUAUGUUUCAUGAUUUUUUUACCCAUAAAAUUGUUUUAACGAAAGAUUAUUCUAUUCUCUGUAAUUAGUGGUGUUAUUAUACAAUUAAAAUUUUUUGCAAUUUAUAAUGUAGCCAUAUUAAUUUGCAAAAAAAAGAAUAUUGAGAGAAAAUAUUAAAUAUUAGUUAAGAAGCAUGUAUUCAAAAAAUAAUUAUUACACUACAUUACACUAUAUUAUUAAAGCUGCCAUAAGAAUAAUUUAGUUUUGCAUUGAAUUGCUUGACUGCACUCAAAGAAUGAAUACGAAAAUUCUCCCUUUUCAAUAUUCAAACUUAUAUACAAUGUUUUGUUUCUGACAAAAGUGUUCACAAAUCGAUACCAAAUGGUUACAAAGGUAUGUAUUUACUUUAAUAAGAGAACAAAUAUGUAAUAUAUCAACAAGGGCGCGUAUAGGUAGAAAACUGAAUCUAUGCCAAUAACGAUAUAGAAUCAUGAAUGGUGCUGUUGUAAAUGAUAUCGAAACGCAACCCUCUGUUUCCGUUUUGUCCAAUAAUAGAUUUCCCCCAUUCUGCGGUUUCCCUUUAUUCGCAUGAAGAUUAAAUUACAUGGUUGUUCGACAUGGUUAUGAAAUUGAAUAUAACGAAUAAUGAACUGAACGAAGAAAAAGAGAAGAGCGAGAGAAGUUUAAUGGCGUUGAUGAGACAAGGACAGUGACCAGGGAAAGACGGUGAAUGAAGGAACGUGUGAAAGAGAUUAUCGGAUAUGUGGCACAAGUACAAUCGCCGCUGACUUCAUGGAUCGCGGUUUAGAAAUCGUUUAAGGUUACCUAGGAUUCGCAUCGGUUCAAUAUACGUAAUAAACGAUACGAAACAAUUUUAUAUUAAGGUAGUCGAAGUAGCCGCUAUCAAAGCGGUACUCUUACUGACGCCCUUUCCAAGAGACAAAGAAUUUGUCCGAUAGCGACUCGUGAUCGGUAGACAUACUCGUGUUGCCAACUGCAGGUCCGUCACGGUGGAGGGGAGGAAAACGACAUUGUAAGGCCCAACUGGCAAGGCAUGUUCCUUACAUUCAACCGCGUUCAGCUGUAUGUACGCGGACAGGAUCUAGCCAGCUGCGGCCUUCUUCGACCUUCCCCCCACCAGACCGGAAUCGAGCCUUCUGGCCAACUAUACAAACCGGUACCCCAGCGUUCUAACAAGGAACAUCCGCGAAGACUCCGCCUUCGAUCUUGAUGGUGAUAGUUAAAUGAAAGACAAUUAUGCCAUAUGGAAUGCAGUGGAGAAUUAGCAGAAUAAGUGGAACAUAAAAAUAAACGAUUAAAGAGAGAAAGAGAAACAGUUAGUUGAUUGAUUCUGAAUCGUUCAUAGACAAAAAAAUCCUUGAAUUGAAUUCAAUACAAUUGAAAUUCAGUACAAAAAAAGUUGAGUAUAAAUAAUCAUUGUCUAUUUUUAUUAUGAUUGUUUAAAAAUAAAGAUAAAAAAUUCAUAUAUCUAUAAAUAUCAUUUUGAUAUUCUGAUAAAUAUUAUCAGAUUUGAGUAGUAUUAUCAGAUUUAAAAAUAUUUAAUAUUGAUUCUCUUCCGAAUUUUUAAUGCUUUAAUCAGUUCCUUCAUCGUCAUAUCUUGUCUAAGCGACACAAUUUCGACCAGUGGCUUUACCCUUUGAGUUCAUAUCUAUUAUGGGCAUUCAAAAGAUUCGUAGAACGAUUUGAAUUUUUAAUUCAGCCCGCAUAGUUCAAGAGUUCACAUCUGUUCCCUAUUUUCCUUGACUAGAAAAUUCCAGCUGACAAUCAGAUAAAUGGCUCUUGUCUUCACAGAAAGAAGGAAACGUCAAGAAGAGAAGGAUGAUAAUGAUGGUUUGAAUUUCGAAUAUAAGGAUUCUUUUAUUUAAAAUUCGCAACAGAUAUCGAGGAAGAUCACAUUAUAAAGUUAUAUUAAUGAUAAAAGGCAUAAGAAAUAAUUUUUUAAAGAAAUUCUAAGCUACAUAAGGAUAAUUGAAAAGAACUUCCAUAUGUGUACAUGAAUUACAAAUUAUAAAAUUAAAUAUUUCAUUAUAAGAAAAAAAAGAUAUCCUGAAUCAAAAGAAAUUUUUCAUUUGGAAAAUUAUUCGUUUUCUAUUUGGAUCUAAUAUGAAGAAAUAUGGUGGUGCAGACCAUUGCAUUUUUCAACAAUAUCAAUUCAGGCCACUUUUACGAUGAAAUAUCGAACACUAAUGUAAUUGACCAGAUGCUGACUUAUCAGAACCGCCAGCACACAGAAUAUCUCAAUGCAACCGGAACUCAGAAAAACCGUCCUCUCAUCGGCAUCUUUUUAUCAUCUCGAUCUAUUCUAAACCAACUCGAUUACAUGUCGAUAAACUGAAAUAGAGCGAUUCGAACGAGAAUUUAAUGAUUCACCAUCGUUUUUUUAAAUAAAAAACAAAGUAGAAAGUUGUCAAACAUGUUACAAGUUAUCAAACUACAAUCCAUAUUUGCACGUUUUUGUAAUCACGAGGGAAAUCGCGAUUACGUAGGUUCAGUGGUAGGUACACGUUUCCAUGACGUUAGUCCAGUUUUGCAUCCGGCACAGGUACAUACUGGGGAAAGGUCGAGCUACCGACCUGAAUAUGUUGAUGGUUACGCAAUAAUUCGUGCACUGAAUAUACUUUUUAUACUUUAAUUUAAAUUGAUCAACUUGGAAUCAACAAUAAUAUUGGAUGGAGAUAAUUAUAUAGAAAGGAAUAUUUUAAAAUAUUUUAUUUUAAGAAAAAAAUUCUGAAUUAUGAGUUAUAAGAGAACGAAUGUCUCUUGAAGGAGAAAAAUAAAUUUUCUUUGUAUUGCAAUCGAUCGAUAUUCGAUGAUGAAGUAAUUUUUGAAGCGAAUAAAAUUAUUUCACAAGUAUUGGAUAUUAUAUAUUUAUUAAAAAAUUUAGAUAUAAUCAAUAUUCCUCGCAAAUAACAUAUAUUGCAAAACAUCUUAAAAAAAAAAUAUGAAACAAAUUUUUAAUAUAUUCCAUUUUCUAUAUAAACUUUAAAUAAUAAAAAAUUUCUUGAUACAAACAUACAAAGAUGACGUACAAUAUUAGAAGUAUAUAAGUUUUAAUACACGCUUUAGAAAUAAAAAUAAAUUUUCUUCUUUCAUCACAAUAUAACAUGAAAUCAAUAAAAAUUCAUCCCAGAUCGAUAUUGAACAGGGUAGACAGCACGUAGAGCGUUCAGCUCGAACAAAGAAGGAUUUUUCGAGGCGCCGAUGCGAGCAGCACCUGGAGAGGCUACGUGAGGGACCAUUCGGAGGAUAGGAGCGGCCCAGCGAAUAAUAUUGGGAAGUCUGCAGCUGUCACAGCAGCUGCAACCCUCCUCGCUUGGCUCACAAUCUGACCGGCAGCUUUUCUGCCUCCUCCUCAUCCUCUUCACCCACCUCUGCCACCUUCUCCUCUCGUAUGCCAUUACCUCGUUCUCAUGGUCUAACUUCUGCCUCGUGUUCUCAUUCCGGUCCUUCCAGAAUUGAGGUAAAAACCAUCUUAUGGAGACCAUUAUUGGUUUAAUCCUUUAGUUUUAGUUUUAAUCUUGUCAAUUUCUUGGGAGGAAAUUCUUUGAAAAAUUUUUCUACUUUUUUUCUUCAGCUUGAUUAUCUUUUUCAGGUAAUAGUGCCAGAAAAUUGUGGAAUUUAAAAGAAUUUAUGUAAGAUGGAAGGAAAAUUAUAUAUGCACCCUUCUAAUGAUACGUGAUGAUAAUGAUAUUCUAAUGAUAUAAUGUUUUGAAUAUUGACAAUAAAUGAAAAUGUUUGGAAAUAAGAUAAUCAGUCUUUACAUAUAUGUAUUUAUGAAAGAUAAGCUUUAUAAGAUAAGAAGCACAUUAUAUAAUAAGAAUUUAUAAUGAUUCUUAGUUUUCUUUUAUUUUUUUAAUAUAUUAAUUCAUAAUAACAUAUGUUGGAUAAAUGAAAGUAUCAUAUAAUUUUGAAUUUUUCUUAAUAUGUCUACAAUGAAAAGUGAAAGAAAACAUUUCGUUUGAAAAGUUUAAUCAAAGAAAAUUCAGUGUAUAUUACUUCAUAUAUAAUACAUAUAAACAAACAUAAGCAAAUACGCAAUUCGUUUCAAAAAUCUACAACAAUCAAUGAAAAGAAAAUGAAAAAUAAAAAUAAUCGUAAAUCUUCGAAUUUAAAAGGAACAACAAUAUUCUCACAAAUGAUUUAGAAAAAAAAGAAAAAGGGUGCCCAUUUCCCGUGUCAAAUAAGCAUCCCUUAAAACAUGAAAUGAAAGUAUGCAUUGAGAAAAUGAACAUUAAUGAAGUGGUUUCUCAAAUAGGGGGGCCCCUUUCCUUCCUGCGCCAACAUGUGGGUGUAUAUCUAGACCGUACCUAGCUCCACGGAGCAAUCAACCCCCUUUUUUGAAGCCAACCACCGAGACCAUCCUCUUGCACGAGGAAUGCGCGGUGUAGGUCAGCUGCUCCUUCUGUAAAACUAAACUUCCUGCGUCCACGUGCACAUCUGCUCCCUUUCAGGCACCUGGAAGGGGAAAUCUCGUGGUCCUGGAUGAGUAUACGUAGUCACGUAUCACGUGUAUCCCGAGGGUUCUUCGCGACUCGAUGGUGUACAUGUAUAAUGACGGAGGAACAUAAAUAUUCUCGUCGUUAAUUGCAGGUAUGGAAGAUUUAUUCUUUGUUUCGUGUUCUCCGGUAUUUAUGGGGAACAAUAAUGGAUUGGUAUUGUUACGUCACAUUGACACAUCGUCUAUAAGAAGUUUUUAUUGAGAUUUUUAUACGGUUUUUACAUUUGAAUAUUGUUUCGUAUAUCAUAAUGUGUAAGUUCUUGAAUGGUGUUUCCUGACUCUUUGAAUGAUCAGAAGUCUUUAAAUGAAUAUUUUCUAUUUUUAGAGGAGAUUUUUAUGAAUGUAUGAGGAAUAAAUUGUGAUAAUAUUGAUUUUUAUAACAGCCAAAUUGAAAAGUUGAUUCUUAGAAAGAUAUGUGGAAAUGAAAUAGACAGUAUGUAUGCGGAUUAAAGUAUUAUUGAAAUAGUUUAACGAAACAAAAGUUUAUUUGAUAUAUCGACUAUUUUUCUUCGUUUGAACUAAGGAAUUAAUGGACUACUUAAAUGCAAAGAGGUUCAUUCUUAUUCAGUUCGAUCGAAUUUUCUUGUUAAAUGGCUUUAAUUAACUUAAGUACUUUGGAGAAAAGAUUAAACCUGAAAUCGCAUUGGAGAACGAUCAAUAAAAAUGAAGAGGAAAUUUAAUAUGAUUAUAUCAAGGUUCAUCAAUGAAAAUUUCUUCAAUUCGAGGUAACGUUGCAGCGAGCAAAAUCCUUGAGAUGUUAGAUCCCAUAUCGGGAAAGUGGCAGGAAUUCCGAGCAAACGGGACACCCUGUAUUCGCUUGGUUGUGUAAUCGGCCUUAAGGAUAAACGGACGCACACACGUUUAAGUACCAUUCGCAAGUAGGGAGGUUCGUAUCACAAAACGGCCAAGUGAAAGGAUAGGCACCAGUUCAUCUUGUGUCUCAACCUCCAACCAACCUUCUCGAAUAUAUCCAUUCGUGCUGCAAGUGCGUCAGCUAUUCGCAUAAAACAACGGUUAAUUCGAAUUCACGUCGUUCACUCGGCGAGCGAAACGAGAAACGCAGUUAUAUUAUUUCUUUGACUAUUUUUUCAGAAGGAAAAUACAUUCUGUUUAUUCGUUGCUUGUUUUACGAGGGCACGCAUAAGUUAUUACAUAAAUUUCUACUAUUCAUGGGUAAUGAACUUAAUUUGCUUUUUUUAAUUUUUCCACCGUGUAUAAUUUCAAAAGUUAAAUUAUAUUAAAUUAAAUUAAAAUUAAAUUCAAUUAUACUGGAUAUGAAUUUUAAUUCGGGAAAUUAAUUUUAUUAUCUAAGAUUAUAUAUACACGGAAAAAUUAAAAAAUUCUUUAAUCAAUUCAUAAUUUUACUUGUUCUUCAUUUUUCAAUUUUCUAUCUAUUAAUUCUACUUUAAAUUUUUUCUCUUCUUUUUCUAUUUUAUUGCUAUUAUCCAAUUCUAUAAAAUUCUUUUUUUGAUUUUUUUCGAUCAUUUAUUUUUAUCAUAUCUUUUUUUUUAUUACUCAUUUAAAAUUAAAUUUUCUAGUGAUUCACAUAGAUAUGGAUAGAAGAAUUAAAAAAAGUUACACUAAAAGAUCGUACAAAUCCACCUUCUAUGAUUCUCAACAGGAAAUUUCAGCAAGUAUUUUUCUCAAUUUACCUAACACCAGAAAAGAAUCAAGCAACAAUUUAUCAUCACACGACAUCUUUCUCUUAUUUCGAUCUUCAUCUACCAACAGUAUAAUUAAGGGUCAUGAAUAUUCGACCGCCAUUCCGUUUCCUUUUUUCCAUCGAUCUAAACCAGGAUCUCGAUCUAGUUAACUGACUAUAAUAUUUCCACGAGCAAUUCAAUUUCACGCAGAAGGAAAAGCGAAAUCUGAGUAUCAACGAUACUCUCAGAUGUUGAACAUCUUCGAAAGCGUGCACAACAUCUGUUCUCAUCAACUGUGAAAUCACCCCCAAUUUUCAACGUGGAAAGAAACCUUUCGAACUCAACUCGACUGGACAAAAUAACGAUGAAAUCACAGAGGAACGCGCCGCUUGCAUGGAUCGAGGAUGCACCUGCAUCUGGUGCAUUUUCGGAUGGAUCACUGGCCAGAUGUCUCUCAUACCCGUGUCGAGCUUUGGUACACGUUUCUGGCUGCUGUUCAAAAUUAUCCAGAAUUCGAUUAUUCUUUUUGAAGUGAAUAAUUUAACAUGGAAGAUUUUAAAUACCGUCGACUGCUUUGAUUGAGUACUGUUAUGUGAAACGUUGUAUUCGUUGAAUUGAUAAUAUGAAUAAUAAUGAGAUAACUCUGAUAAGAAGAUUUUUGGAUGAUGUGUCUGUUCAAAUUUGGAAUAAGUUGAUUAUUACGAAUCAACAUUCAUAUCUGUUGAGUGAUUAUCUUACAUAACAAUUAACAAUGCUUAUUUGUCUAUUAAAUGAAAUUAUCGAAUAAAUUCACUUUUGUCGCAAUCUGGUCACAGGAUUAACGAAAUAUAUAAUUUCAUAGAAUUUGAAAAGUUACAGAAAAUUGAGAUAAUUACUGGAGAAUAUUAUAAUUAUUAAAACAUUCUGUUAUUAAAAGAUUAUGAUAACACAAUGACAAUGGAACAUACAAAAAUCUUAAUUUAUAAUCAAAGAAAUCAAUUUUGUUUCAACAAAAUUCUAUUUUAACGUGUCCUACAAUGAAACUUUAUCUUUCAGUUCCAACUAAUUUGCAAUAAACAGGAUAUAGAAUAUCGUGACACAUCGCCCACUAUAUGAAAUAUUGAAAUAUUAAAUACCUUUAUCGAAAUACACAGCUUCAAGGACUACAAGUUUCAAACAUCGCGUGGAAUUAAUCACAAUACGCUUUCUCGCGUUAUUAUUAUUUUCUAAAAGAUCCACAAAUAACGCAUCAAUGUGCACGAUGAAAUACGUAAACAGAAAUUACAUGGAAAUUUAUUUGAUCAUUUCCAUACGAGUAACCAAUCCUUAAGAUCAAUCGACAUUGACUGGAGAAUCAAAAAGUUGUCUACGGUAAUUAUAUAUUGUUAUAAUUUAUAUGUGUAAUAGGAUAUCAUAUUGCGUCGUUUCCCUCUCUUUUUCCACGGUCUUUUUAUCGGCCAGUGGCGUGCGACCAGCACGAUCAUGCCGUGUCCGACGUCUUCCGCACAUGGAAACCAGAGUAACCAGUGCAGUGAGUAAAAAGCUGCAGCUGUCACACAGAGCGGGCAGCUGCAGCCGCGAUGCAUCGGGGACUAGCGAUGAGAGUAACACGUUUCCAAGCGGUUUUAGUAUUCACGGUGAUUUCCAAUUUUGCAUAAACUCGUCGAAGGUCUGUUAAAUGUCGCCAAAACAGGCGAAAGAAAGAUGAAGAAGUACUCCACUAAUAUCGUACUCUUCAAAGUGUUUUUUAAAUAAAAUGUUUAAAAAUUGAAUAAUAAUUUAAUAAUCAGAAGUAGCUUAUGAAUAUUUCGAGAGAGUAUUUUUUUUUAAAAAUUCCAAAGAAUCGGAAUAUUCGAAAUGAAAAAAAAAUAAAAUAGAAUAUGCGAUGUUGAAUCUACGAUCGGAGCAGGUGGUACUUGGAAUUACAGACCCUUCUCCUAUUCGCAUAUAUGUACAGGUAUGCGCUGGAAUUCGGUGUUCUCCCUUUCAUACUAAUUCAUUCACCUUAAGCAGAAUAUUUGAAAAGUCCUGCAUGAUUUUUAAGGAUCUUGAAUCAGAAUUCUGAAAUUUUUUCAUCCCAAAGAAGCUAAAUCUAGCUAAAAUAUUCAAAUUAGAAUUCAAAGAGAAGAGGAUAAAAUAGACUUUGAUACGAUUUAUUAUGCAUUCACAUAAUAAAGAAAGGAUGAAAAAUUCAACAUUCCUAAAAUUUCAAAAGCAAUUUGAAUCGAAUCGAAUAGCAUUCAGAAGGCGCCAUAAAAAGAGACUCGGUAAUCGAUCAGUCUUUGAUCGCUUUGAUCGUCACGGGUGUUUAUCGGUCAGCAGCAGCAUUCCGUGCAUAUGCAACCGCACACCUAAGAUGGAUGCACGGAGAUGAGAGAAAGUCGGAGAUCCUGGCCUCGAGGUUGUCUUCGAGAAUGUAACGAAGCGUUCGUAUGCACGCGCGCGAUUCUUGCCAGCAGAUAGGCGUGAACGUGUCGCGAGGAAAAUGUCAUUGGAUGCACUCUUGCCAUCCCACACUCUAAUAUCAUUCUUAUUAAUUUUCCUUCUUUCUUUCUCCAUCCAUGAAAUCAUAUCGAUUGUAUUCGUAAUACAAAAUUUCAGAGAAAAUCAACGUUGUGAAGAAAAUAUGUUUUAAUUAAAAUCAUGUAAAUAUUCUUCAAUCUUCUUUUGAUUCUCUUUUGUGGUAUUGGAAACAACUUAUGAUUCAAGGAAAAUUAAUUAAUGUAGAGUUUUUGAUGAUACAAGGUUAAUGCUCAAAAAAUCUUUAAAUAAAAUUAUUUUUUAUAUUUGUGGAAUUAAUUUUAAAUUAACGAAUUAAAUUAAAACAAUUCUCGAAUUUAUGAAAGGGAUUUCGAUCGAGAAUUCUAUUUCGAAUUCUCUUCAGAAUUCAUGUAUUAAUUGAAAAUUGUAAAAUGAUCGAAACUAAAAUCCUUGUUAAUAAAAAGUUGUUAAUAGCGGAUAGCUAUUACAUUCGAUACGAUUAAAUUAAGGUUUAUUAGCGGCGUAUUUUCCAUUGAAACGAGCCACUUAGCAGCCAGUAGCCGAGAAACGAAGGUAGAUACCGAGUUCCUUUGUAAUAGCACACGCGGCAAUAAGUAAACAGUCGGGAGAAUGGUUGAUGCAUGCGGCCUCAUUAUUCUCCCUCGUCAAUCGGAUUGUUUCGAAUUAAUAAUUCACCGUUCCAGUUUAUAUGUCACUAUGCAUCCUUGUUAUGCAUUAAACGAUCGAUAAACAAUUUAACAAUUAUUACUCAGCAAUUAAUAUGAUCGAAUAUUGGUACGCGUACAAUUCGAAUAAUUUUAAUUGAUGAUAUUAAAAUUUCUUGUCGAGCAAAAAAAUGGAAUAAAAAAAUGGAAUGUCGAGAAUGUAUAAAGAAAUGAAGGCUCGUUUAUUGUAAAAAAAAAAAAAUAAAAAAUAAAAAAGAAUUAGAUCGAAUCGAAGAAUGCUUAUGAAUUAAAGAAAAUAAGUUUCUGAAAGUAAAAAUAGUUUCUUCACUUUCUUUCACUUGACGAGAGAAGAAAUAAGAAUUAUUAUGAUAAUGAUACUUUAACGUGUUUAGAAUUUCCUCUGGAGUUAUUUCAAGCGAAUAAAGUUUCAAGAAGAGGAUCGUUGUGGGAAAGCUAUGGAAGAAUCGAAAUUGCUCGCUCUUGGAACGCGGCCGGAACACGUGCGUAUUCACGCCAAGAGGGACGCCAUUACAACCGCCUAUGAGAAGAAACGCACGAGCCCAUUGUUUCAAUAGGUUUUUCUACCUGUCCUGACUAAUAAUAUCUUGAAAUUUGUUUUUCAAAUCAGGACUCUGGGAUUUUCCAUCAAUAAUCACCUCUAUCGAUCGUGAAUGUUUUAUGACAUUAUCUCUAAUAUCUUUAAAUCCCGAGGUAACACUCCUUACUUGCAAUUAAUAAUUUUUCAAAUAAUGGAAAAAAAAUGGUAAUGGAAAAAAUAUAUAAAAUCCAUCGAUUUUAAUCGUAAUUAUGAGAGGAAGAUUUUUUUAAAAUUUUUAAUUCUAAUCUACCAUAGAUGUAAUAAUAGAAAAACCAGAAUAUUGUUGGUUUUAUCAUAAGAAACUUGUGCAAGAAUUACUCACCGGCUACGAAAUCCAGAUGACAUUAUAAAACACCGAAACCAACGAUAAAGGAAUCAGUUCCACAGUGCAAACAGUUCAACAGUCACUUUACAGUGAAGAUUCACCUUUCGGCUUCGAGAAAAAUUAUUACACUUAAACAAAUCCUUCACUGUCGCAAGAACUCGCGAAUAUCUAGUCGAGAUCUCGGCUCGUAAAAUGGAAAAGGAUCGUUCGGCACGCUCAGCUAUUUCAAAUCUUCUAUGCCAUCCUUGUUGAAACGUUCCACGAUCUAUUCUUCCUUCUUCUCAAUCAGAACAUGAAAAAUAAAAACGUCCCUUGUUAAACAAUAUCAAUAACAAUGAUCCAACAGAAAUUCUAUUCCAAUAGAAAUUCAAAUAUAGAUCCGAACUUCCUUUCAAGAAAGAUCACAAUGGGUUUCAAGGAUCACGGUGAACCUUCAAUACCUGUUAUUAUUCAAAAUCUAAAUAGAUAGGUCCUUUCGAUUACUCUUUGGAAAAAUACUUAGGUAGAAGAACCAGGUAGCAGAAGAGGUACUAAAGAGAUAUAUCAAAAAAAGAAGAAAUAGGAUUAUUUAUAUUAAUCGAACCUUUCGAUUCCAAUCCUGAAGAAAUUGAAUUAUUCGUGGCCGCGGAGGACACUAACGAUCGGGCGCAGGUUCGCCGGUUCGAGGCGUGACUGUUAUCAACGGGAGAGGAAAAGCUCCGAUAGUCCGGCCGUGGUGAACGACAGCGUAACAUCGACUGCGUGUAGCGAACUCGACGUGUUUCCAGGUGGAAUGUGUGCGCUAGUAGGCACAAGCCAGAGAGUACACCGUGGCCGAUGAAACGAGCGGAGAAACUAAAGUCCCAUAGGAUACACGCUUUGCUUCUAUACGCUGUAUACACUUAGAUAGUUAUGAAGGCAGGUGCCGGCAGUCAGGUGAACGUGGCGGAACACAGGAAGUGCCAGAGACAGAGAGGCAUUACAAAACUGUGGAAUGGUGGGGACGGGGCAAAGGACGAUAGAGGAAAGAAGAGAAAAGAGAGGAAUACCGUGUGACUCGAGAAGUCGCGUGCCCCUUGUCGAUGAAAUUAAUUUCCCUUCGUGAAUCUGUUGUUUCGCGAUUUUCAAAUUCCUCGAAAUGCUGUGUCGAGUGCUUAGAAAUAUCCCAUGAGUUGUUCAUUAUGCAUUACCAUGCAUUAACAAUAACUUUCUAUUCAGUAAACACAUUACAGACAUUCAAUUUAUUCGCAGACUUGCUAUUCAGACAUUCUAAUCGUUUUUGUUUUACUUGAGAAAGGUUUAGGUACGAAUAUCAUAUAGCUUUGAAAUAUACGUUUGCUCGAUAUCGAAAUUCUUAAAGGAAAAUUGCUUAUCCUUCCAUUCACACCAUAAAUAGCCAAUGAAACAGUGAUGGUGAUUCUUAGAAUUAUCAGGCACGCUUUAAACUUGAUUAGUGACGAAACGAUUGACUAAUACGAUAUUCAACACGGUUCGACAAAUACCUUCCUUUCUUCGUCUCAUUAAAAUCGACGAUUAAUGAAAACGAGCGUGGAGGUUGUUUCCAUGAAUCACAUGAAUCACAUUUUCUAAAGAGUAGAGCAAGGAAUUUCAAGAUGUCGUUGCGUUAUCAAUCCACCACCCCAUCUCUCGGCCGCAACGAAACGUAAAUACAUAGCGUAUAGGGCUGUGUUGUUAUGCUACUUGCGACUCCAGGAAUAACUUGCAAGGCAUAGCCCCACCUUUGCGAUCCACGUGCGUGUAUGCGGUACGCCAUAUUUCCCGCAUGCAACAGUGCACGUAUGUGCAACACAUCCGACAAAGUCGUUGACUGGAAAACGAGCACUGGGCCUAGGAAGGAACAUGAGGAACGGCAGCGGCACGUUCUUCAUACGCUCGUUUAUUCGCACUUUUACCCGGUUCGUUUAAGUGUAGCCGGUUUGUUUAUCGAUACUUCUUGUUUUUAGGACCGAAACUUUGUUAUCCUCGUGAUAUCUUGAUAUUCUGAUACGGUAAUAUGCUUUGAGACAUCUUCAAGUUUCAAAUUAGAACGUGUCCAAUAACAAUGAAUAUCAUGGAAUGUUUACAAAUUUGUUAUUAAUAAAAAAUUUUUUUAAUAAAUAAAAAAGAAUAUUUGAAAUA